rnacentral:rRNA from 1 species
GACCUGCCCACUGAUGUGAAGUUUAAAGGGCCGCGGUAUACUGACCGUGCAAAGGUAGCAUAAUCGUUAGGUCUUUAAUUGAGAUCUUGUAUGAAUGGUUCGACAAGGAAAGGUCUGUCUUUGUACUGUUGACUGAAUUUGACUUCUAAGUGAAAAGGCUUAGAUAAUUUAAGGGGACGAUAAGACCCUGUAAAACUUUAUAUGGGGGGCUAUAAUUUUGACUGAAUUUUUAAGGUAUAAGUUAAGUGCAGCGUCAUAUUAUGUUGGGGCGACAGAAAUAAAAUUAGUAGUAACUGUUUAGUAGUUUAGGACAAAAAUGUAUGAUUAAAUUAAUAGAGGAUCCCGGCUAGGGAUUAAGAGUUUAAGUUACUUUAGGGAUAACAGCGUUAUUUUUUUUGAGAGUACUUAUCGAAAAAAGAGUUUGCGACCUCGAUGUUGAAUUAAAAUUUCUACACAAUUGUAGUAGC